CUUCCUGUCAUAGAGACAGAUUGAAAACAGACGCUCUCUCUCUGAGUCAGUCAGUUGGUUUCCAUUCGUCGCCCGUCUGGAAUGAACUGAAUAAGAAGGAGAAGAAGCAGAAGAAGGAGAAGAAGGGGAAGAAGAAGGAUAAGAAGGAGAAGAAGAAGGAGAAGGAGAAGAAGAAGGAGAAGAAGAAGAAGAAGAAGAAGGUCAGAGGUCACCGCCGGCUGUCAAUCAUCUAAUGUGAACCAGACAGAAAACCACAUGGAGGCGUGACGAACAGGAGAAAUCUGUAGACAGGACAGCUGAGCAGGAGGACAACAACAGGACAGCAGAGCAGGAGGAAAACGACAGGACAGCAGAGCAGGAGGACAACAACAGGUCAGCAGAGCAGGAGGACAACCACAGGACAGCAGAGCAGGAGGACAACGACAGGACAGCAGAGCUGGAGGAAAACAACAGGACAGAAGAGCAGGAGGACAACGACAGAACAGUAGAGCAGGAGGAUAAUUACAGUACAGCAGGGCAGGAGGACAAUGACAGGACAGCAGAGCAGGAGGACAACGACAGGACAGCAGAGCAGGAGGACAACAACAACAGGACAGCAGAGCAGGAGGACAACAACAGGACAGCAGAGCAGGAGGACAACAACAGGACAACAGAGCAGGAGGAAAACGACAACAGGACAGCAGACCAGGAGGACAACAACAACAACAGGACAACAGAGCAGGAGGAAAACGACAACAGGAUAGAAGAGCAGGAGGAAAACGACAACAGGACAGCAGAGCAGGAGGAUAACAACAGGACGACAGAGCAGGAGGACAACAACAGGACAGCAGAGCGGGAGGACAACGACAGGACAGCAGAGCGGGAGGACAACAACAGGACAGCAGAGCAGGAGGAAAACGACAGGACAGCAGAGCAGGAGGACAACAACAGGACAGCAGAGCAGGAGGAAAACGACAGGACAGCAGAGCAGGAGGACAACAACAGGUCAGCAGACCAGGAGGACAACAACAGGUCAGCAGAGCAGGAGGACAACAACAGGACAGCAGAGCAGGAGGACAACGACAGGACAGCAGAGCUGGAGGAAAACAACAGGACAGAAGAGCAGGAGGACAACGACAGAACAGUAGAGCAGGAGGACAAUGACAGGACAGCAGAGCAGGAGGACAACGACAGGACAGCAGAGCAGGAGGACAACAACAACAGGACAGCAGAGCAGGAGGACAACAACAGGACAGCAGAGCAGGAGGACAACAACAGGACAACAGAGCAGGAGGAAAACGACAACAGGACAGCAGACCAGGAGGACAACAACAACAACAGGAUAACAGAGCAGGAGGAAAACGACAACAGGAUAGAAGAGCAGGAGGAAAACGACAACAGGACAGCAGACCAGGAGGACAACAACAACAGGACAGCAGAGCAGGAGGAUAACAACAGGACGACAGAGCAGGAGGACAACAACAGGACAGCAGAGCGGGAGGACAACGACAGGACAGCAGAGCGGGAGGACAACAACAGGACAGCAGAGCAGGAGGAAAACGACAGGACAGCAGAGCAGGAGGACAACAACAGGUCAGCAGACCAGGAGGACAACAACAGGUCAGCAGAGCAGGAGGACAACAACAGGACAGCAGAGCAGGAGGACAACGACAGGACAGCAGAGCUGGAGGAAAACAACAGGACAGAAGAGCAGGAGGACAACGACAGAACAGUAGAGCAGGAGGAUAAUUACAGUACAGCAGGGCAGGAGGACAAUGACAGGACAGCAGAGCAGGAGGACAACGACAGGACAGCAGAGCAGGAGGACAACAACAACAGGACAGCAGAGCAGGAGGACAACAACAGGACAGCAGAGCAGGAGGACAACAACAGGACAACAGAGCAGGAGGAAAACGACAACAGGACAGCAGACCAGGAGGACAACAACAACAACAGGACAACAGAGCAGGAGGAAAACGACAACAGGAUAGAAGAGCAGGAGGAAAACGACAACAGGACAGCAGAGCAGGAGGAUAACAACAGGACGACAGAGCAGGAGGACAACAACAGGACAGCAGAGCGGGAGGACAACGACAGGACAGCAGAGCGGGAGGACAACAACAGGACAGCAGAGCAGGAGGAAAACGACAGGACAGCAGAGCAGGAGGACAACAACAGGACAGCAGAGCAGGAGGAAAACGACAGGACAGCAGAGCAGGAGGACAACAACAGGUCAGCAGACCAGGAGGACAACAACAGGUCAGCAGAGCAGGAGGACAACGACAGGACAGCAGAGCUGGAGGAAAACAACAGGACAGAAGAGCAGGAGGACAACGACAGAACAGUAGAGCAGGAGGACAAUGACAGGACAGCAGAGCAGGAGGACAACGACAGGACAGCAGAGCAGGAGGACAACAACAACAGGACAGCAGAGCAGGAGGACAACAACAGGACAGCAGAGCAGGAGGACAACAACAGGACAACAGAGCAGGAGGAAAACGACAACAGGACAGCAGACCAGGAGGACAACAACAACAACAGGACAACAGAGCAGGAGGAAAACGACAACAGGAUAGAAGAGCAGGAGGAAAACGACAACAGGACAGCAGACCAGGAGGACAACAACAACAGGACAGCAGAGCAGGAGGAUAACAACAGGACGACAGAGCAGGAGGACAACAACAGGACAGCAGAGCGGGAGGACAACGACAGGACAGCAGAGCGGGAGGACAACAACAGGACAGCAGAGCAGGAGGAAAACGACAGGACAGCAGAGCAGGAGGACAACAACAGGUCAGCAGACCAGGAGGACAACAACAGGUCAGCAGAGCAGGAGGACAACAACAGGACAGCAGAGCAGGAGGACAACGACAGGACAGCAGAGCUGGAGGAAAACAACAGGACAGAAGAGCAGGAGGACAACGACAGAACAGUAGAGCAGGAGGACAAUGACAGGACAGCAGAGCAGGAGGACAACGACAGGACAGCAGAGCAGGAGGACAACAACAACAGGACAGCAGAGCAGGAGGACAACAACAGGACAGCAGAGCAGGAGGACAACAACAGGACAACAGAGCAGGAGGAAAACGACAACAGGACAGCAGACCAGGAGGACAACAACAACAACAGGACAACAGAGCAGGAGGAAAACGACAACAGGAUAGAAGAGCAGGAGGAAAACGACAACAGGACAGCAGACCAGGAGGACAACAACAACAGGACAGCAGAGCAGGAGGAUAACAACAGGACGACAGAGCAGGAGGACAACAACAGGACAGCAGAGCGGGAGGACAACGACAGGACAGCAGAGCGGGAGGACAACAACAGGACAGCAGAGCAGGAGGAAAACGACAGGACAGCAGAGCAGGAGGACAACAACAGGACAGCAGAGCAGGAGGAAAACGACAGGACAGCAGAGCAGGAGGACAACAACAGGUCAGCAGACCAGGAGGACAACAACAGGUCAGCAGAGCAGGAGGACAACAACAGGACAGCAGAGCAGGAGGACAACGACAGGACAGCAGAGCUGGAGGAAAACAACAGGACAGAAGAGCAGGAGGACAACGACAGAACAGUAGAGCAGGAGGACAAUUACAGUACAGCAGGGCAGGAGGACAAUGACAGGACAGCAGAGCAGGAGGACAACGACAGGACAGCAGAGCAGGAGGACAACAACAACAGGACAGCAGAGCAGGAGGACAACAACAGGACAGCAGAGCAGGAGGACAACAACAGGACAACAGAGCAGGAGGAAAACGACAACAGGACAGCAGACCAGGAGGACAACAACAACAACAGGACAACAGAGCAGGAGGAAAACGACAACAGGAUAGAAGAGCAGGAGGAAAACGACAACAGGACAGCAGACCAGGAGGACAACAACAACAGGACAGCAGAGCAGGAGGAUAACAACAGGACGACAGAGCAGGAGGACAACAACAGGACAGCAGAGCAGGAGGACAACGACAGGACAGCAGAGCGGGAGGACAACAACAGGACAGCAAAGCAGGAGGACAACAACAGGGCAGCAGAGCAGGAGGACAACAACAACAGGACAGCAGAGCAGGAGGACAACGACAACAGGACAGCAGAGCUGGAGGACAACAACAGGACAGCAGAGCGGGAGGACAACGACAACAGGACAGCAGAGCAGGAGGACAACAACAGGACAGCAGAGCAGGAGGACAACGACAACAGGACAGCAGAGCAGGAGGACAACAACAGGACAGCAGAUCAGGAAGACAACUACAGUACAGCAGGGCAGGAGGACAACGACAGGACAGCAGAGCAGGAGGACAACGACAGGACAGCAGAGCAGGAGGACAACGACAGGACAGCAGAGCGGGAGGACAACAACAGGACAGCAGAGCAGGAGGACAACAACAGGGCAGCAGAGCAGGAGGACAACGACAACAGGACAGCAGAGCAGGAGGACAACGACAACAGGACAGCAGAGCUGUAG
rnacentral:lncRNA from 1 species